CUCUCCAGACCCCCUAACCCUCCUCUUCCUGUAUGUCUCUCUCCAGAGUUCCGCCCGGUGAGCCAUGGAAGGUUUACCCCAACAUCGACCCUGAGACUGACCCUUUCGUGACCCCUGGUAGUGUCAUCAACAACCUCUCCAUCAACACCGUCCUCCACGUGAGACCACCACAGAGACCUGACAGGACCAUCCUCAUCACUGAACACCACGAUGCCUUCUAACAGUGCCUGGCCAUCUAUUCGUGCCUCCAGCCACAGUGGUUCCCUCACCAGUACAACACAAAGCACUUCAGCCAGGUCCAGUGAGUCUAAAUGGUGUCCAGGAGGGUCUAACACAUCUCUGGCCCAUGAGCUGUGGAAGGUCCCUCUGGCUCCUAA